GCCCGCGGCCCGCACCGCAGAGCCUGGGUCCAGCGCUGGCUCCACUCCCGAUCCCGGCUUCCUCCUCCCUCCCUCCCGCACGCCCUGGGCAGCAGCAGGUGCUGACCGAUGUACUCGGAUCCCUGCCGUCCGCGAGAGACCAGGGUUGGAUUUCUGGCUCCCGCCUUCAGCCUGGCUCAGACCCAGCUGCCGCAGGGGCUUGGGGAGGGCACCGGCGGUUGGAUGCUCUCUCUCCACUCCUCUCUCUGCCUCUCCAUAGCUAAGCGAAUUUCACCCAGGCCCGUGACUGUGUCAACCGCUCUGAGAUGCACAACCCCACCCCCCCAACCUGUGCCAGCCCCCAAGCGAGCCCGCUGCUCUCCUGUCAUCAGGGAACGUGGCAGACGCGUGACCCCCCAGAGGCUCCCGUCCCGAUCCCUCACACAGCGACAGGGCCUUUGCAGCACCAGCGCAGGACAGCGUGUGACGUCUUCACCUACGCCCGCAAGCACACGCGUGUCAAUGUCUUCACCGACCCCAGCGAACACGCGUGUGUUAACAGCACGGCCCCCUGGAGAGAACAAAGUGGCCUCCCACACAGACCCCGGCCUCUCCCGUUCACGGGAAUUGGGGCCUAAGAGAAGCGCGUGCCCUGCCCCCCUCUCUGUGCGGGCCCAGGGGGUCUCGGGCUCAGGCCCGCGGCCACGGUGAGGCUGGAGGCCGGGCUGAGCCGCACACGGGGCGCCCUGAACGCCAGCGGCUGUUCCGGGGAGGCAGGAAGCGUGAAAUUCAUCGGAUGCUUCGGGGCAAAGUCACUGCACGUGGCGCCCGAGAGUGAAAGGUGUGGGAAUCAAACAAAUGAACCGACUGCGAGCAGAUCUCGUCUCAGCCUUCACCAGCUGCCCACUUUCAUUCCGGGAAUGAAAACGGGGGGAGGCGGCGGGAUGGGGCGAGGCGCAGGCGUCUUUGCCCCAGCAGGGAGCGGCGAGGCGCGGGGUGGGGGACCCCGCAGACCCCCGCCCUGGGCUUCUGCCUGCCUCCUGCUGAGCCCCACGUGGGAAGACGUGGUCCUCUCUUCAGCACUGGGCUGUCAGCCCCCUGAUUGCUUCAGUAAAACGUAAUUAAGAACAACGUGCAGACGCUGUGGCCUUCCUUCUGAUGAACUGUGCCCGCCCUACGUCGUGCUGGUGGUUUUGGACGACAGGGGAAGCUGUUCCCACGUCAACGUCACUCUCGUCCCCCUUGGGUUCCGGGGAGAAAGACAGCGUGAAGCCUGUUACUACCAUGCAGAGGAGUCAGGUGCGUGGGCUGUGCCCGGGGCUGUGUGGUCAGCGCAGCCCCCGCGGGCAGAGGCUGGAGGGGGCAACCCCCUCCCCUUCUCCAAAUCUGCUCACACGUUCCCUGCGAGAUCUGGGUGGCCUCACGGCCCGAGCACGGCGUGGCGGGGCACAGAGCAGUCCCUCUCCAGGGUACACUGACCACCCAGGAGGAGCAAAGCCACAGCAGGGCCCAGGACCACCCACCCACACGUGGCGUGUCCAGAACGGCGAUCGGCUAUGCUGAGCUCCUGGGCGGCUCCCUCAGCUCCCUCCACGCAGCGAAGCCCAGAAGGUGGGGACGGCGCUGACCCCGUCUCCCAGUUCUCUGCUCUGGCUACGUUCUGGUUUCCACCUUCAAGGUCCCCCCCAAUGGUCCAAAGUGGCUGUUGGAC
ensembl:lncRNA